GAACGGGCGUGUGGCUAAUACAACACCCGCAAGGGGAAUAUGCCCACUCUAUGGAGCGUUUAAACGCCCGUUCACCAGUUA
rnacentral:ncRNA from 1 species